AGAGGGAAGGCGGGAGACAGCGGGCAGCGCCAGAGGAGGAGGACGCGGGAAGAUGGAGCUGCCCACGGCCUGCAGUCCGUGCCUCUCUGCCCGCGCGGGGACCACACAGUUGGAGAGGCUGCCGGGCACCGGCGCGGGCGAUGCUCAGCAUGGACCUCCGGCCGGCCAGCCUGGGCUUGUUUUCCCGGUAGUACUGGGUUCUGAGAGAGAGUAACUGCAUGGAAGGCCUUGAAGACUGGGCUUGGGCCUGCUGUACCCACAUGACUGCUUCUGCCACGUUCUACUGGCCAAGCUCUAUGGGCAGCUCAGACACAAGGGAAGAGACUCUGCUGCUUCCUGGGAGAAGCUGCAAGACCACAUUGCGAAGGAACAUGUUGUUGCUGCUCCCAUGUUACCUUCGUCAGUGACCUGAGAUGCAGACUGGAUCUAGGGAAUGGUGUUUCCUGUGUGAUGCCUUCCAGGAGUAUCUGCACCACGGGCAGUGCCAGGCCGAGGACAGAGGGCCUAAUGGAGGACACUCUACAACUCCAUCCUGCUGCUGGGGGGGCUUGGGGGCGCCUCCACGAGGGUCUUCAGAGGAAAGGCAUGUGUGUGGUCUGUGGCCUGCCAGCAGGAGAGCUGGGGGAGGCCGGCAUCUUGAGGCUGUUGGCAGCAAGUGCAGGCAGAGGCCUCGGGCCAGAGGGGAGGUGGCAGGGCUCAGGUGCCCUGUGCUUCCUCGGAGAAGGCACUUGGGAUGAAGGCUUAGUCCUGCCUGGUAAACCUGGAGGCCUGUGAACACUGGGGUUAGCCCCAACAAGGGAGGAGGUUCCCGCUGCCUCACUAAGAACAGCCUGCUGCUACACUCACCCUGACAGCUGCUCCGCUCCCAGUGAACCCCACCCCGAGAAGGCUCAUCGGGGCCACGGACCUCCCUCAGCGCUGCAUUCAGAAUCCCUCAGGAGUUGUAAACUUCCUGAUUUCUGGACCCAUCACCAGAGCCCAACGUCACGGGUAAGGGUUAGGGCCUGGAUGUCAGGAUUCAAUUUGGAGAAUUCCCCGGGGCAAUUCCACCAUUGCAGACACUGAAACGGAGCUGGGGCAGAAGAAUCACACCAGGUGGCUCGAGCUGAGCGGCUGGGAGUGUGGCAGUGAAGACACUGAGUGUCCGUCAGGGAAGAUGGCUCUGGGUACAACAGCGUGCCCAGCCCCUUAGAUAUUCUCUGCACGGAAGUGGCCCCACCCUGAAGCGCGUGUGCAGUGACUGUUCAUGCUUCUGUGUGUGUGCAGGAGUAGUUUGGUUGGAGUGUGCAUAUGCGAAUGUGUGUGUAUGGAAGUCUAUCUAUCUGUAAUGUAAAGCAGUUGCGUAAUGCAAAUGUGUGUGUAUGGACAUCUAUCUGUAAUGCAAAGCAGUUGCGUAAUGCAAAUGUGUGUGUAUGGAUGUCUAUCUAUCUGUAAUGUAAAGUUCCCAAGUAUUGUGUAUAUCAUUGUUUGAGUUUUUAAAUUCUAAGAUAAUUUCUAGAGAAAAAGAUGUACGGGUGAUUCCUGGUGAAAAGCAGGGACCGUGGGCCUCAUAUUGAGACACAUUUCACGCUGUUUAGAUUGUAAUGGCAAUUAUGUAUGACUUUUGUACGUUUUUUAAAAAGCCAAUAAAAUA
rnacentral:lncRNA from 1 species